rnacentral:rRNA from 1 species
GAAGUAGCAAUACUUCUAGUGGCGCACGGGUGAGUAAUGCAUGGGAAUCUGCCUAUUGGAGGGGGAUAACUACGGGAAACUGUAGCUAAGACCGCGUAAGCAGCAGCGAUGCUGGAAAUGCUGGGACCGCAAGGCCAGCAGCCGAUAGAUGAGCCCAUGUCCCAUUAGCUAGUUGGCGGGGUAACAGCCCACCAAGGCGAAGAUGGGUAGCUGGUCUGAGAGGACGAUCAGCCACACUGGGACUGAGACACGGCCCAGACUCCUACGGGAGGCAGCAGUGGGGAAUAUUGCGCAAUGGGGGAAACCCUGACGCAGCAACGCCGCGUGGGUGAUGAAGGCCUUCGGGUUGUAAAGCCCUUUCGGUUGGGAAGAAGGGAGUUGGCUUAAAUAGAGUCAGCUUUUGAUGGUACCAAAAGAAGAAGCACCGGCAAACUUCGUGCCAGCAGCCGCGGUAAUACGAAGGGUGCAAGCGUUGUUCGGAAUUACUGGGCGUAAAGGGUUCGUAGGCGGGAGCGCAAGUCAAGUGUGAAAUCCUCGGGCUUAACCCGAGACGUGCAUUUGAAACUGCGUUUCUUGAGUUUCGGAGAGGGUGGUGGAAUUGCUGGUGUAGGAGUGACAUCCGUAGAGAUCAGCAGGAACACCGGAGGCGAAGGCGACCACCUGGCCGAAUACUGACGCUGAGGAACGAAAGCGUGGGGAGCAAACAGGAUUAGAUACCCUGGUAGUCCACGCCGUAAACGAUGGUGACUAGGUGUUGGGGGAGUUGACCCCCUCAGUACCGUAGCUCACGCGCUAAGUCAU